GGGUGAUCGUCGAGAGCAAUGUUUGGGAGCCAAAUCCAGCACUGUGUUUAUUCUUCUUCAUAUCAUGUUGCUUGUCAAUCUACUAUUUGCCAAGCAGCACCAGAAGUUCCGCCAUUUUCGAUCACGCACCUUCGUCUUCCUUCAUUCGUUUCCAGAGAAGUUUCCUUUUACUCUAUUCGCUUUCUUCAGUAAUGGAAGGCUUGUUGGCAGUAUUUGGAGAGUACGACUUAGCAUUCCAUGGCAUUAGUAGGGAGCAGAUGGUCAUCUCUCUAUGUGUUGGAUACGCAACUGCUCUCUUUGUCGGUACCUUUUUGGGAAUGCUCUCGGAUUUGAUUGGCCAGAGAAAAGUCAGCUUGUUAUUUUGCUUGCUGCAUCUUUUUGUUGCCGUAUGGAGGAGGGUUACUGGACAUCCAACUAUUUGGCUCGCUAGCAUCUGUCUGUCUCUUACCUCUACAAUAUUUUUCUUCAACUUCGAGACAUGGAUGGUUGUUGAGCAUGAUAAGGUUUGUCUUCGGAAUCUCUUUUUGUUAUUAUUGUAUGAUUUGCUAUUUCAUGUGGGAAGUACUAUUAUGAAGACUUGUUAACUCAA
rnacentral:misc_RNA from 1 species